UGGUUCACAUCAUAAUGGUUCUUUUGCCAACAGGAGCUGGUAAUCAGGAUGGCAGUGAGGCAGGCACUUGCUUGCAGAAGAACAGGCCUAGUUUUUUAAGAAGCCACAAAAGUGUCUUUGGAUGAUUAGGAUCUAAGGGGCCAACAGCUUUGCAAUAACAGCAUAAAUAUUGUGGGCUGGAUGGACAGGCACCAAAUGGGGACAUUCCAUCCUGCUGUGUGAUGAGAAAGCUGCCACUUUUGAGGCCUUCCAAAACAAAUCAACACUCCAUAUGCCAGAAGGAAAAGCCCAGGAAAGACCUAUUCCAACUGGAGAUGGUGAAUGUCAUUUCUUCAAGAAGCUGAGAUCCAGCUGGUACUGCCAGGUGGAGAGAAUACGAAGGGAGAAUGAAACAAAACUGCUCCGCUUAGGGAACUUGGAAAGGAAAUUGAAAAGGCAAGGCACAGGCUGGAAGAAAAUAUUUGAAAAAGAUUUAUGUGAACUUCUUUCUGGAUUAUACAAAAUAUUUUUAGAUAUUCUUACAACUCUAAAAUAAGAUAACUCCUUAAAAAUCUAAAUUCUACCAAAGGAGAGAUAAAGAUGACGAAUACAUUCAAAGAUGCUGAAAAUCACUUAUUUAUUAUUAGGAAGUUACAAGCUAAAGCAUAAUGAGAUACCACUACAACCUACUAAACUGACUAAAAUUAAUCAGACUAACCAGGUGUUGGCAAGAAACAGGGACACUGAGACUCUCACACUGCUGGAAGGAAUGUAAAAUGCUAAAACUUCUUUGGAAAUGAGUUCAGUAACUUUUUAAACAGUUGAAAAUAGACCUAUCAUGCAAACCAGCAAUCCCACUUCCAGGUAUUUAUACAAGGAAAAUGACAACAUAUGCCCACAUAAAGACUUGUGCACAAAUGACCGUAGCAGCUUUGUGAUAAUUGCUAAAAACUAGAAACUUGUCAAGUGUCCAACAGGAUCGAAUACCAUAAGAGGAAUUCUGGACUGAAGAGUUAUGAAGUCAUUUCAGACACUUCCAGACAAUUUGUGUUAAUUAAAUUCUCACUGGUUGAGUUCCAUUCUACACUGGAAGAGCAUUUUUCCUGGAAAGGCUCCUCAAAAUGGACACCAUCAAGAGUCACCUCCUCAGUGAAGCCUUCCAUGGUUUCAUACCACCCAUCCCUAUCGGAAUGAAUGUAUCCUUGUUCUCCGUUAUCCCAGUAUUUUGCCUGGGCUUCUGUCACACUACUUUCAAUGUCUAUACCUCAGUUAUCGAAUCGAAAAACAAGAGUCAUCAGUCUCUAAGGUCCUUGCAAGCUUCAAAACUUUAUAUUUUUGUCAAUUACAACUGAAUAAAGCUGAACAACUUAUUAUUUAUGGAUACUUGCUCAAGCACCAUAUAACUCUUUCAGAUAUUUUAAAAGAAUAUGUUUGCAAAAGACUCCAAAUCAAUGUAUUAAAUUGAAAUCCAGUAUCAAAACACCCAUUAAAGUGCUCUUUUGAAAUUGUACAUUUUAUAUCAAUAAAA
rnacentral:lncRNA from 1 species